rnacentral:rRNA from 1 species
CACGUAGGGACCGAGCGUUGUCCGGAUUCAUUGGGCGUAAAGAGCUCGUAGGCGGUCGGGUAAGUCGGGUGUGAAAUCUCCGGGCUCAACUCGGAGGGGCCACCCGAUACUGCACGACUCGAGUCCGGUAGGGGAGUGGGGAAUUCCUGGUGUAGCGGUGAAAUGCGCAGACUAUCAGGAGGAACACCGGUGGCGAAGGCGCCACUCUGGGCCGGUACUGACGUGAGGAGCGAAAGCGUGGGUAGCAAACAGG